rnacentral:rRNA from 1 species
AUUGCACGCUGGCGUCCGGCCUAACACAUGCAAGUCGAGCGAGCGGCGGACGGGUGAGUAAUUUAUGGGGACUGCCCGAUAGAGGGGGAUAACUACUGGAAACGGUAGCUAAUACCGCAUACUAUCGGAUACCCCAUAUGGGAUUUGCUAGUAGGUGAGGUAAUGGCUCACCUAGGCGACGAUCACUAGCUGGUCUGAGAGGAUGAUCAGCCACACUGGGAGUGGGACACGGCCGAUAGUCCGACGGAGACGGCAGUGGGGAAAAGUGCACAAGGGGCGCAAGCCUGACGCACCCGUGCCGGGGGUAUGAAGAAGGCCAUAGGGUUGCAAAAUACUUUCAGUCGGGAGAGGUUACAGUUAGAAGAAGAACCGGCUAACUCCGUGCCAGCCGCCGCGGUAAUAC